GAUGAACGCUGGCGGCGUGCCUAAUACAUGCAAGUCGAGCGAACGGACGAGAAGCUUGCUUCUCUGAUGUUAGCGGCGGACGGGUGAGUAACACGUGGAUAACCUACCUAUAAGACUGGGAUAACUUCGGGAAACCGGAGCUAAUACCGGAUAAUAUUUUGAACCGCAUGGUUCAAAAGUGAAAGACGGUCUUGCUGUCACUUAUCGAUGGAUCCGCGCUGCAUUAGCUAGUUGGUAAGGUAACGGCUUACCAAGGCAACUAUGCAUAGCCGACCUGAGAGAGGGGUCGGCCACACUGGAACUGAGACACGGUCCAUACUCCUACGGGAGGGAGCAGUAGGGAAUCGUCCGCAAUGGGCGAAAGCCUGACGGAGCAACGCCGCGUGAGUGAUGAAGGUCUUCGGAUCGUAAAACUCUGUUAUUAGGGAAGAACAUAUGUGUAAGUAACUGUGCACAUCUUGACGGUACCUAAUCAGAAAGCCACGGCUAACUACGUG
rnacentral:rRNA from 1 species